rnacentral:snRNA from 1 species
GUAAUUUAAUUAUAACGAUAAAUAAAAGAUUAGCACGACCCUUACGCAAGGAGGACACACACAAAUUAAGAAAUGAUCCAAUUAUUU